AUUGAACGCUGGCGGCAGGCCUAACACAUGCAAGUCGAGCGAGCGGCGGACGGGUGAGUAAUGUCUGGGAAACUGCCGGAUGGAGGGGGAAAACAACUGGAACGGGUAGCUAAUACCGCAUACCAUCAGAUGGGCCCAGAUGGGAUUAGCUAGUGGGUGGGGUAACGGCUCACCUAGGCGACGAUCCCUAGCUGGUCUGAGAGGAUGACCAGCCACACUGGAACUGAGACACGGUCCAGACUCCUACGGGAGGCAGCAGUGGGGAAUAUUGCACAAUGGGCGCAAGCCUGAUGCAGCCAUGCCGCGUGUGUGAAGAAGGCCUUCGGGUUGUAAAGCACUUUCAGCGGGGAGGCGUUACCCGCAGAAGAAGCACCGGCUAACUCCGUGCCAGCAGCCGCGGUAAUAC
rnacentral:rRNA from 1 species